UGGCAAACCGGCGGCUUGCUCGCGUGGAAGUGGCGCACGGGUGCGUAACGCGUAGGCAACCUGCCCUUGAGUGGGGAAUAACUACCGGAAACGGUAGCUAAUACCGCAUAUUGUCCUAGAACCGCAUGGUUCAUGGAUGAAAGCCUUCGGGCGCUCAAGGAUGGGCCUGCGUCGGAUUAGGUUGUUGGUGAGGUAACAGCUCACCAAGCCUACGAUCCGUAGCUGGUCUGAGAGGAUGAUCAGCCACACUGGCACUGAGACACGGGCCAGACUCCUACGGGAGGCAGCAGUGAGGAAUAUUGCGCAAUGGGCGAAAGCCUGACGCAGCCACGCCGCGUGGAGGAUGACACCCCUAUGGGGCGUAAACUCCUUUUAUACGAGAAGAAGGCCUGACUCGGUCAGGUUAGACGGUAUCGUAUGAAUAUUUUACCGGCUAACUCCGUGCCAGCAGCCGCGGUGGUACGGAGGGUGCAAGCGUUGUCCGGAAUCACUGGGUGUAAAGGGUGUGUAGGCGGGGCUGUAAGUCAGGGGUGAAAUCCUACGGCUUAACCGUAGAACUGCCCUUGAUACUGCAGCUCUUGAGUCUCGGAGAGGUCACUAGAAUUCGUGGUGUAGCGGUGAAAUGCGUAGAUAUCACGAGGAAUAUCAGA
rnacentral:rRNA from 1 species